rnacentral:lncRNA from 1 species
UUUCUUUGGCUGUAUAUGGCCAUUGCUUUUGCCCUCUAUUUCGUGACUGCAGUGAGUACAAGACGUAAUAUAUAUUUUAUUACAUAAUCCUCGGAUGGUGAUGCGAAAUGUUCCUUUUUUCUGCGCGCUCCUGCGUGUGUGUGGAAGGGGGGGGGGGGGGGGGGGGGGGGCGGGGGGGGCGUCUACUCUAGGAGCCUCUACAUCUCCAACUGUGCGUCACGUGUCACAUCUCGCGCUCUUGGCGAAGUUUGAGACUUCAGAGACACCUCCGAGAGUUACGCACGUUUUUUCGGCCACACGGUUAUUGGUAUUUGACCUGCUCUUUGCUAACAACCUGCUCUUUGGAUUGCUUUCCAAUUCACAUUUGCUGCAGUUUCUAAAUUCGUUCUACAUUUGUUUGUUCUCCUGCUACCGGACCUCCGCCUGCCUGACUACUCGAUCCUCGCCUAGCCCCCACCUGCACGAUCGCCCUCCCGGCUCCAGACCCCCCCGCCUGCCUGACUACCCGAUCCUCGCCUAGCCCCCUCCAGCACGAUCGCCCUCCCGGUUCCUGACCCCCGCCUGCCUGACUUCCCGUCCACCGUCCAGCCCGUGACCACCUGAUUGCCAGCCCGUUACCAGACCCCCGCCUGCAUGACUUCCCGAACGCUCCACGAAUAAAUUCCUUUGCCUUUACCCUGUCUCCGCCUCCCUGCGUCCUGCACUUGGGUCCCAGUAACCCGUACCGUAACAGGUAAACAGAGUGGUAAACAGAGACCCACCGUGGAGAUACCCUUGGAGGCAAUAGGAGGUGACGUAAUUCCCGCCCAUACGCUGAUUGGCUGAUACCUUUGCCACUUUGCAUAUAGACUUUUUGGAAAACGUUUUGGAUUCCGUUUUGGAAAACGUUUUGGAUUCCGUUUGGCCAAAUCUUUUGCAAAGCGUUCGUUUUGCGGAUUGAAAUGUCAUUUGAAUAUCGCAACACACGGAGCGUGUCGAAGUGGAUUGCAAUCACGGGGACGCUAUAGCUUUUCAAUUUGAAUAAAGGAACUCAAAGAAUUUGACAAAAUGUUAUUCGAUUUGUAUUGUUAUAACUUUUGCAAAUUUAAUUGAGGAUUGCAUUGUCACUUUACAUAUUAAAAUACAUUUUGAAUAACGUAUUUACAAAUUACAUUAUAAAAUUGCAUAAUGAAUUGUCAAUUGCAUAAUGUAAUGACAUUUGAAUUGCAAAUUGCAUUACCAUUUGAAUUUUGCUACAUGCUUCCAUAAAUGCUUCCAUUCUUUUUCAUGCUUCCUAUACUUGCAAGUUAUAAGAUAAAACACUAUUUGAUAGAUCAUACUUUCAUUGCCAACUUCUCCAUGAUUGCAAUUAAAAUAUUC